rnacentral:rRNA from 1 species
AUGAUGGCAGGCGCAGCUCAUCCGAUGCAUUUCUGCAUGGACUCCGACUGGCUCAAGGGCAUCGUUCCCGAGGACCAGGGCGGGAUGGGGUCGUCGUCGCCGUCGGAGGAGCUGAUCAUCGCGUGCCCGGAGCCGAUGCAGGCCCAGCAGGCGGCGGACCGGCGGCUGCGCCCGCAGCACGACCAGCCGCUCAAGUGCCCGCGCUGCGACUCCACGCACACCAAGUUCUGCUACUACAACAACUACAGCCUCUCCCAGCCGCGCUACUUCUGCAAGACGUGCCGCCGCUACUGGACCAAGGGCGGCUCCCUCCGCAACGUCCCCGUCGGCGGCGGCUGCCGCAAGAACAAGCGCGCCAGCGCCGCCAAGAAGCCCUCUGCUGCCGCCGUCAUCACGCCGCCGAUUUCGAUGAUGCAGCAGCUUCACCACGGGCGACACAUGGCAGAGACCGGACUCCACCUGUCCUUCUCCGGGAUGCAGCCGCCGGCGGUCUCGGCCGCCGACCCGCUCUGCAGCCUCGGGCUCUUCGACUGGAAGUACGACCACAUCCUCUCGGGCUCCGGCGGCUUUGAGAGCGCGAACUCUGAGGCUCACUUCACCGGGCCAGGCAUGAUGGGCAUUGCCAACGGAAGCGGCGGUGGCGGCGCGGAGUACCACGCACUGAACGCGCUCCGGUAUGCAGCCGGGCUUGGCGAGCACCUUGCGCUUCCAUUUGGUGGCGCGACGUCGCGGGCUGAGCGUGACAGUGUCGUUGCCGAGAUGAAGCCGCAGGCGGAGAGGCUGCUGUCGCUGGAGUGGUGCGGCGAGGCGAGCCGCGCGCCGACAGAGACCUCCAUCAGCUCCCUGGGCGGGCUCGGCCUGUGGAGCGGCAUGAUCACCGGCGCCACCCACCAUCACCAUGGCUCCUCUGCUGCCAUCUGA